GAGAACACAUUCGUGGAAGCUCCAGAAAAACAUGGAACAUGUUCAGAGAAAUUUGUAGCUCAAUAUCACUUCCCCGGUUGUUCUGUGUACUUGUCCUGCGUUUUCUUAAUUAUAGUCACUUUGAAACAUUAUUAAGAGAAUUUUAGAAAUUUUGUGGAGAUUUUAGAAUGUACUCUAGGGCUAACACCAAUAUAUUUCAGAGACAAUUUCCAAGGGAGAUUAGGGAAGAAAGUAUUUUUACUAUUAGUUCUCAGAGAAUUCUGAGGAUAAUUCUAAAUGAAUUAUGAAAAGACAUUCAUACGAGUUCCGAGUAAAGUUCCUAAAAAAUUCCGAGAAGAGAUCCUAUGGUAUCUAAUUCUGAGGGCAUAAUUCCAACGGAAUUUUGAAGCCUGUUCCAAGGGAAAUCCCAGAAUAAUCUAAAGCGAAUUGAAUUCUAAUGAUAAUUCCUAGAGAAUACUGAGGAAAGGUUCAUGCGGAUUCUGCGAGAGUAUUCGCAUGUUCAUGUUUUCAUUCACCCGCUCUCACUCACUCUGGAUAUACUGUACGCUCAAUCGGGGAUGCUCAAUCUCGAACAAAAACGUAAUCCGUAGGCUCCCAGAGAGCACCACAUGCCAAUUCAUCCUCUCGCUUGAGCGCUCUCCUCUCACUUGGUGAGUUUUUAUUUGCUUCUUCCUUAUUUCUCUCUCGGAGUGAGGGCAGACCAGCUCAUAGGGCCAAGAGUGUUUACUGAACUCUGUGAAUUUGACGGGUUUCGUCAAGCCUGCCGUUUAUCUUCAUCAAGAUUUUUUGCAUUGGAAACGAAUCCACAAGACACGUGUUGCUCAUGUACCAUUUCUUCGCUCGUUCCGUAUCUUUUCCGGAGUGAUCCCGCUUUAUCCUUAUCAACAGCAUGAUUUUCAACGCGCAUUCUAUCCCAUGCAACAUUCGCUCAAGCAAACUAGAAACAGUCAGUCACUGAGAAUACGCUGCAACACAAAUGAUGACACACAAAUCAAGCAAAACUUCCGAGAAAUGAACAGCAAAAAUUGUGCCUUUCACAAUUUUUCUUUCUCUCUAUCUAAAAAAAAACACGUCUGAAAUGGUAUUUUUUUUCUCACUCAAGCACGCACCCUUGCACGCAACUCACAGCGUAAAUCUACGUCAUCAAAGAAUGAGAAAGCAAAAAUUCUAAAAUGCGAGCAAACGACACGAGAAGAAAGAUCAAUCUAAAUUUAAAAACAGAUGAAAAGUGCUAUAGCGGAAAAAGCUAAACCUAACUGCUGCUAAGUAAACAAAACGGAAAUCUUAAAAGCUAAUUCAAGCAAAAUAAAACAAGAAAAGAGACAACACUCAACUCAACAAUUUUUCUACACAAAUAUUUUUGAAAGUCCCCUUUUGUCGAAUUGUUAUAAUGCAAGCACGAGCAAGUGAUGCAAAUGCAAGCGAAAAUAAAGUGCGAGAAGGAAAACCGCGAAACACAGAAACUGAGACAAAUAUGAAUGUAUGAGGAAAGUUGUUAUUUUCACCUCGUCGAAAAAUGAAGAAAAACAGAAAUCUAUAUAGGGAAUAUUAAACAAAGCAAACAAAUAAGAAAUCACAAACAAAUCUAAAGGAAUAACAAACGAGUCAACAGCAAAAACAACAACAGCAACAACAACAACAACAACUACAGCAACCAAAUAAACAAAAAUCAAGAUGAUAUAUUUUCGAGAAAUCAAUGUCAACAAAUGCGUGUAAAGGUUUGGACCCGGGUAAAAGAAAACGAAAAAAAAAAAUAACAAGAUUAGCACUUGGAGUGCUCACGUUCGAAGUUGAAGAAAAAAAUAAGAAGGCAUAUGCGAAGAAGACAGGACUCUCCGGGUCCUGAACUACAAAACUGAACUGUUCAUUAGGUUUUAUACGUAAUAAAAAAGGGUAACUCUCGUCAAGUGAGAUAAAACAAAUGUAAAGAAGUGACGUCACCAGGAAACAAGACUUAAAUCCCAUUUUAGUACCCAACCAUCAGAGUGUAUCAAAUAGAAGAAGGAGAGGUGUCCGCACUUAUUUCUCUGUCCCACCCAAUGCGCGAUCGAAAUUGCUGAACCGUGAGCGUGCAACUCAGUAUGUUACUGUAAUUCAGUUCCUCUCACUCUCUAUCUCUCUCUCUGUAUACGCCAUCCGCCGCAGUUGGUGCGGGUUUAGUACAACUGGUAGCAGGGGUCUGUACUAAGAUAAGAAAACGAAAGUGAAGGUUUAUCGGAGCGAAUCUCUUGCCCUAAAGUUGUGUCCGUUUUACUGCGACAACCGGUGUGUACUAAUAGUAAUAAUCAAGCGAUUUAUCGAUUAUUUAUUGCAUAUAUACACAAUAUAGGACGAUUAUUAUUUUAGAACAUAAAUGAUUAAAAAAAAAACGGAAAAGAGGAAAACCGCUAUGUGAUAGUAUUUCCAAACUGUGAUACGAAUAUUAUUUUUUGUUUGUUUAUUCGACGGAAAAGAGAAAGUCAUCAAUAUUGUAUUGUAUAGCUUAUUUAUCGACAAGGUAAAAGAAAACGAAAGAGAAAUAUUCAUAAGGUGUACUAAUCCACUUAAUCAACGCUCUAGUCCACGAAUCACACUCACAUACACACUUAUCUCGUUUUUUGCUAGCUACUCUUGGAGACUUGUUUGAUAAUGAUUGUAAUAUAUCUACUUAUUGGAUGCAAAGCGGAAGGAAAGGAUUUUUUCAUAGGUGUGUCGUAUCGCUCACUGUUCUCUCGAUUUUCAGGGACGAUUUUUAAACGUAAGUAACGUAAUAUUCAAAUUAUAUACCAAACUAAAGGAAUUUUAGUGCACACUGGCCCGCAGAAAGGGGAAGAAAUUUCGCUUCGUUUUCCGGCACAGCCCACGACCGCUGAUUGUACUAAAACCGAGUCUCCCUCCCCCCCUCCAGAUCCGCCUCCUCUCUCAUGGAACAACCAUCCUCGUUCACCACACUUUAGUUGGUAGUGUAAAGAGACUAAAUCGCCAAACUUUAAACUGACAAACUUAUACUUUUGUCUAAAUGUCAUUGAUUUAUAAACUGUACUAAAAAUCACUGCUGAAUCUAUUCGAAAUGAACAAAAAAAAAACAAAGAAAACCACUUCACACAAACUAUAAACUAGAGAAAAAUGAAAAGACAACUUGAGAAUCUUCCAUCUUCGAAAACACUUAACGAGAACACUAUUAAGGAAAGUAUACAAUAAAUAACUUUAUUAAAAAUAAAUAUUAAAAAUGAGAAAGUUAUGAAAAAUGAACAAAACUGACUGAACAUAUAUUAAAAAAAAAAUCUGCAAGCAAAGACGCAACAUGGGCAAACUAACAGAAAACACUCUCACACAAAACACACAGAAGCGCUAAUUGUUGAAGUUGUAUAAACAAAAUAAAUGUCUGACGGUGCAGCAACCCUCUGGUCAUCACUAAUAUUUUAAGCUAUAUUUUCUUAUUUAUUGAAGGAAAGAGGAAAAUCUAAAACAAAACCCAAUCAAGAUUAGUGAUGAAACACGCAGAGAGCGAAAGAGACAACAAAUCAGACUAUUUUACUUAUACAUUUAGUACGGAAGGAGCGAUCACCUUGAAAAAACACAAAAGCAAAAAAUAAAAACAAACGAACGACUGUACUCUUAUACACUCACACUCACACAAAUGCAUACAUUCACAAAAACGAGAACGAGAGCAAGAGAGAUGAUUCUUCAAACCAAACUGAACAAAGAUGAACCCAUUACAUUUACACUCUAUUGCAGAGGAAAGGUCUUUAGUUUUACUAACAAAAAAAAAAAGGUAUAUAUAUAUAGAAACCCAAACGGCAAAGAAAAACGAAACCCGUAGCUGAAAACGGAAAAUGAACAAACACAAAGGAAAAAUCUUGAACAUACACACAAAAAUGAAUCAAAAAAACCAUUAUAGAAAGUGGCACGGUUUCGCACGUGACUUUUUUUGGAACCAUUUACCUUUUAUCCCAGUAAAAGCAGUUACGGAACAAAGACAAAAGAACAGUAGAGAAACAAAUCAAAUGAGCAAAAAUGCAAGGAAACAAACUUGCAAAACUCCUCCCUAGAAUGUGUUGUUUUCCCAAAAAGCAUCCAACACCGAAUGCACACCGAUAAAAAAAAAACUCCCGAACUAUUCUCCAUAUUUUUUGUUUGCGAUGAGAUGAUUGAAAAAAAAAAUCAAGCUACUUUGAUCAUUGAGUUGCUGUCAAAUUGACAGCUCCAAAGUUGUCAUUGUUUAUUGCGUCAACAAAAAAAAAAUGUAAGGAAAAUCUCCGUUCUGACAAGAGCUACAUUUUAUUGUUUUUGUCUGUCACACCUUCAUAACUAUUAAAUUGAAUUAUUGAUCGAAGGAAAAAAAAUGUUUUUGCAAGUUGAUAUGUUUAAGCGAACAAAAAAAAACUGUAGGUGAAAUGAAAAUGUAGGCAAAAAGAGCAGUAGCAGUAGAAUAGGAUGAGAAAUGGAGAAAAAUGCAGAGGAUUAAGUAGCUGAAAUGAAAAAAAACAGUAGCUUUAGGCUUAAGAAAAAAAACAACUAGCUGUUAAGUAAAAACCAACCACAUACACACACACACACGCAGACAGACACACUAAUGAAAACGUGAACGCAGUGCGACAGACAGGAGGAAGUAGGAAUAAAAAAUGAAAUGAUUUUUGAUAGUUUGUAAGGAGAUAUUUAGGAUAAAAAAUUGUUUAGACUAGGAAAGCUGAAUGCAAACUCCGAAUGAAAAUCCGACUUGAUUGUGUUCCGUUGUUGAGACUUUCAUUUUCCUAACAAAAAAAAAAGUUACUGUAUUUUCAAACCAACAUGCGCUGAUGAUUCCUAACACUUGAAACCAAAUACAGAAACACUUACGACGCAUGCAUUGGAAACGAGCCGCAGUGCAGUAAUCUUCCAUUUACCAAUCACAUUUUCUUCGGUUUCCUUCGUUUGAAAUCGCGAGCGGGGCUUCCACCUUCACGGCCACUGAGAGUACCCUAACUCAGUAGCUGAGUCGAAUUCGACUCCAACGGGCAAAAAGUGGGUUGAGUAACAUUUUCCUCGACUUUCCAGGAAAAACUUCUUGAUUAUAGAGUCGAGAAGCAGUUUUUCCUGGGCAAAGUGUGGACAAUUUGACUCAUUUUCUGAACAGUAAUCUCACUUUUUGCGCUUUUGAGUCGACUCAGCUACUGAGAUACUCUCAUUGACCGUGUUCGUUUAAACUGUUUUUGUUUUCAAAUUUACCUCAUUAUAUGCACAAGAAAAAUAAACGCGAUGCGAGAUGUAGAGAAAGGACGGCCGGUAGAGGUCAAUAAUCAUGAAGUGUUUUUCCCUCCCGAUUGUUGUAUUUGUUUCCCAAAUUUCCGUUUCGUUCGAUAAAAGAGGAAACGUUUUAAAUUGAGCGCGAUUAAACGAAAUUCAAACACAAACAAAAAGAGUUGAAAACAAUGCCCACGAUCGAUCGACUAGAGAAAACGUAAAAAAAAGAAAGAAAUGGAAAUCCAGUGGAGACGGAUUGAGUUUUAGGGUUAAUGAUGUUAAAUGAAAAAAAAGAACUUAGCAUUAAAAAAUGAUGAAAAACUAGAUGAAAAAAAAAAGAUUUUUUAGGGUUAAGUGAUGAAAACAAAACAAAACAAAAAACUUGAUGAAAAAAUACAAAAAAAAACAAA